CGGAGCUUGCUCCGGUGAAAGUGGCGCACGGGUGAGUAACGCGUGGAUAACCUGCCCUGGUAUCUGGGAUAACAUCUCGAAAGGGGUGCUAAUACCGGAUAAGCCCACGGACUCCUCGGAGUCUGCGGGAAAAGGUGGCCUCUAUUUAUAAGCUACCGUAUCAAGAUGGGUCCGCGUACCAUUAGCUAGUUGGUGGGGUAAUGGCCUACCAAGGCGACGAUGGUUAGCUGGUCUGAGAGGAUGAUCAGCCACACUGGAACUGAGACACGGUCCAGACUCCUACGGGAGGCAGCAGUGGGGAAUUUUGCGCAAUGGGGGAAACCCUGACGCAGCAACGCCGCGUGAGUGAUGAAGGCUUUCGGGUCGUAAAGCUCUGUCAGAGGGGAAGAAAUGAAACGUGCUAAUAUCACGUUUUCUUGACGGUACCCUCAAAGGAAGCACCGGCUAACUCCGUGCCAGCAGCCGCGGUAAUAC
rnacentral:rRNA from 2 species